CCAGCAAGUUUCUCAGUGUCAGGAUGGAAAUCUGAACGCAGGGAGAAGUAAUCUGACCACGCUGCAAGUGGAUCACCACCACGGCACCCAAAGAGGUCACAAAGAGCCAGAAGAUAAAUAGGCUACAGCUGGCUUGUACUCCAGCCAAGAUCAAUCUCUGCAAAGAUUCAGCCAAACCUGUUGAGUAUUUUCAGCAUUUCCAGCUUUUACUUUAGAAAUUCUGCAGAAAUACGGUACCCCAGUGACCAGUGGACAAUUUUAAAAGAUCAACAAGAAUCAAGAGGACCACCAGCCACAGUGUGCUGCUUUAUGUUGGGGAUGCAAACAGGCUAAGUGAACUCAUCAAAAAGACUGGAUCGCCCUUGGCUACAACCCGGAAUCUUGUGAGUUAGUGGUGGAGAGGAGGUCACUAAACAAACUGUUAUCCAUUAUGGACAAUCUGGCACAUCCUCUCCAUGACCUACUGAAUAAGCAGCAGAGCCCCCUUUUGAACAGACUCAUUCAGCUCUGCUGUCACAAGGAUCGUUACAGAAAAUCUUUCCUACUAAAUGCAAUAAGCAUACACAACAUUCAUCUCUGUGUGACAGGAGAACAUGCAUCAUAGUACAACAGUCUCUGUUUUAUUAUCUCAGAAAUUAUUAUUGCUCAUUGGUAAAUUAUUAUUCUGUACUUUAUUAUUAGUUAAAUCAGUGCUGUCUGUUUUUAAAUG